rnacentral:rRNA from 1 species
UACAGAGGUCUCAAGCGUUGUUCGGAUUCAUUGGGCGUAAAGGGUGUGUAGGUGGCGCCGUAAGUCGGGUGUGAAAUUUCGGAGCUUAACUCCGAAACUGCAUUCGAUACUGCGGUGCUUGAGGACUGGAAAGGAGACUGGAAUUUACGGUGUAGCGGUGAAAUGCGUAGAUAUCGUAAGGAAGACCAGUGGCGAAGGCGGGUCUCUGGACAGUUCCUGACGCUGAGGCACGAAGGUCAGGGGAGCAAACGGG